rnacentral:lncRNA from 1 species
AAGAGCUACCACUGACACUACAGCCAGGCCCAACAAGGGUUGCCAUGCACUAAACCAGGCACCAGAUCAGGCUGCACAAGGCCCCAUCCAGCCUGGCCAUGAGCAUCUCCAGGGAUGGGGCACCCACAUGUUCUUUACGUGUGCACAUUAUCUUUGACUCUUUGACCACCUUCUCCAAACACUGAGACAACAGAUGACUGUAAAGGGUGGUCGCUGAGCACAGCUCCUCUUGUCCUGGCCCCAGAGAUGCCAGUAAGAAAUGUAUUAACAUUAUUAUGAAAUACAAAGCAGUUAUUAUUAGCCAACCGAUAUUGCCACACAUUGUCACUCUUUGCUUUAAAUGAGGUGGAAGAAUGAGGAGCAAUGAGACAGUGAAAGAGUAACAUAUGAAAUUUGAUAAUAAUACUUCC